ACUCCUACGGGAGGCAGCAGUGGGGAAUCUUGGACAAUGGGCGCAAGCCUGAUCCAGCCAUGCCGCGUGAGUGAUGAAGGCCUUAGGGUCGUAAAAGCUCUUUCGCCAGAGAUGAUAAUGACAGUAUCUGGUAAAGAAACCCCGGGCUAACUCCGUGCCAGCAGCCGCGGUAAUACGGAGGGGGUUAGCGUUGUUCGGAAUUACUGGGCGUAAAGCGUACGUAGGCGGAUUAGUCAGUUAGAGGUGAAAUCCCGGGGCUCAACCCCGGAACUGCCUUUAAUACUGCUAGUCUUGAGUUCGAGAGAGGUGAGUGGAAUUCCGAGUGUAGAGGUGAAAUUCGUAGAUAUUCGGAGGAACACCAGUGGCGAAGGCGGCUCACUGGCUCGAUACUGACGCUGAGGUACGAAAGUGUGGGGAGCAAACAGGAUUAGAUACCCUGGUAGCUCGAUG
rnacentral:rRNA from 1 species